rnacentral:tRNA from 5 species
GCCUCUGUAGCUCAAUGGAAGAGCAGUUCCGUCCUAAGGAAAUGGUUGGGGGUUCGAGUCCCUCCAGGGGCACCA